AUGACACCAAAAGGCGCCUGUGUGUGGGAAGCUCUAUGGGUUUCCCAUGUUCAUUUUAUGGCAGGGGAUAGUAACCAGGGAGUCCCCACAUUGCCUACAGGAUCAGAUGAGCCUCUAAUUGUGCAGUUGAACACUGAGACACCUAAGAGAGCCAGUGGAUUGAAUGUGGCUGACCCCUGUGGGAGAUCAGGAUGCCUGAUGAGUGAGUUGACACACAGGGAGGGAGAUUUCCAUUGUUGGGCAGGGGACUGGGCAGGGGACUUGUCAAAACAUGCAUGUCCUUAUGGUUUGGUUCUGUUGCUAACCAAGAUAGUACCACAACCAGACAGCAUAGAUAUCCUUGGAAUCUGGUGUGACAGUAGGCGGUACCUGUGCUUUAGCAUGCCCUCACAUUUGCUUAUCAUCUCAUUUGCCAUGUCCUGCCCCAUUUGCACAUCUUUGCAGUGGAAGAGCCCUCAUUUCAAGAGGAGGAAGGUGUGGUGGCACCUGCAGACCAGGCCGAGGCUAAUCAGAGGGUGUGUGGAGAUCCACCCCCACUGGAAGGGCCAGAUGUCAUCGUGCCUAUCCUCAAGGAUGAUGGAUCCUACCUGCUCUGUGGAUACUGGGCAGAUGAGCCUGAAGCACCAGCCCAGGUCUGGGCUGAGGCCUGGCAUGCAAAAACCCAGCAGCCCAUCUGCUGUGCUGAGGCUUUUUGGGUGAGUCCUUAGAUGUGAAUCUUGCUGCAGAUCUGUCAAAGUGCCCGAGUGGACUCCUAUGACUCAGGCCUGCUUGCUGUUACUCCCCAGGGAAAGGUGGUGAUGUGGCAGGCUGUCCCCUGGGCUAUAUCUGGAUGGACAGAGGCAGAACCCAUGGUGGAGUUUGCAGCACAGUUGUAGUGUGGCUGGUGUGUCUUGGCCUCAUAGUCCCAGGCUAUGCCCCCCUUUCUGACACUGACACUUGUUGUGCCUGAAGCACGUGAUGGGGCAUGGCCCCAGCUUUUGUUACUAAACUUUUGUUGCUGAACAAAUUAUUUACUCUUAAGUAUUUAUAUCUCAUUUGAGGGUUUUGGGAAAAAAUAUCUGUAUUCUUUCUGUUGGACUAUUAAGUCAAAUGGUUUGCAGAAUGUCUGACUUAGAAUUGUUUUGUAGAUUCUAGGUUUUCUUAGUAACUCAUGCACUGCAGACGAGCUGAGUUUUGUCCUAGUCUCUGUCACUGCUGAGCAGUGCCUCCAGACUCAGCUGGCAGCAGGCCCUGACCAAGACUCUCAUUUGGUUUCUUUCUGUCUCCCUCUCAGGUGCUAAGAACUUCCUCUGGUGGAUACCAUGAAACCUGACUCUGUUCAUUCCAGUACCCCAUUUAUAUUAAAGUUUGGUUUUGUUAAUUAUUUGGGUUCAAUAUUUUGCUCCAUAUUCUUUAAACCUCACAAAUACAUGGAUUAGUAUAACACUGGAACCUGGAAUUCUAGGUGUCUUCUGAUAACUGUAGUCAAGAUUGUUCCUAUGCCACAGGACGUGUCUACAUGCAUCAAGUCUAGUGAAAAAAACCAGACAUAGUCCAAUACCAUGUGAGUACAGGUUAAAGCAGACCUGCUGGGAGUGCACAGUAAGGAGGCAGUUCUAAGGUGAAUGCAAGAAUGCAUAUACUCAAGAUGAGCAUGAGAAUCUCUCAAGACAGUGAGGGAGUGUCAUUAGAAAGGCGUGUGGGACUCUUCUGGAAUCUU
rnacentral:lncRNA from 1 species